GACGAACGCUGGCGGCGUGCUUAACACAUGCAAGUCGAACGGAAAGGCCCUGCUUUUGUGGGGUGCUCGAGUGGCGAACGGGUGAGUAACACGUGAGUAACCUGCCCUUGACUUUGGGAUAACUUCAGGAAACUGGGGCUAAUACCGGAUAGGAGCUCCUGCUGCAUGGUGGGGGUUGGAAAGUUUCGGCGGUUGGGGAUGGACUCGCGGCUUAUCAGCUUGUUGGUGGGGUAGUGACUUACCAAGGCUUUGACGGGUAGCCGGCCUGAGAGGGUGACCGGCCACAUUGGGACUGAGAUACGGCCCAGACUCCUACGGGAGGCAGCAGUGGGGAAUAUUGCACAAUGGGCGGAAGCCUGAUGCAGCAACGCCGCGUGCGGGAUGACGGCCUUCGGGUUGUAAACCGCUUUCGCCGGUGACGAAGAGUGAGUGACGGUAAUGGGUAAAGAAGCACCGGCUAACUACGUG
rnacentral:rRNA from 1 species